GAUGAACGCUGGCGGCGUGCUUAACACAUGCAAGUCGAACGAGAAGUGAAGACGGAAACCUUCGGGCGGAAGGCUUUAUUUCGAGUGGCGGCCGGGUGAGUCACGCGUGGGUAACCUGCCUCCUACAGGGGGAUAACAGUUGGAAACGACUGUUAAUACCGCAUAAGACCACAGCACCGCAUGGUGCGGGGGUAAAAACUCCGGUGGUAUGAGAUGGACUCGCGUUCGAUUAGCCAGUUGGCGGGGUAACGGCCCACCAAUGCGACGAUCGAUAGCCGAUCUGAGAGGAUGACCGGCCACAUUGGGACUGAGACACGGCCCAAACUCGUACGGGAAGCAGCAGUGGGGAACAUUGCACAAUGGGGGAAACCCUGAUGCAGCGACGCCGCGUGAGUGAAGAAGUAUUUCGGUAUGUAAAGCUCUAUCAGCAGGGAAGAAAAUGACGGUACCUGAGUAAGAAGCCCCGGCUAACUACGUG
rnacentral:rRNA from 1 species